rnacentral:lncRNA from 1 species
UCUCCUUCUCGUCGAGGAAGAGAUCCUCGGGGACGCGGAAGGCUCCGUGGGCGGCGACCAUGGCGGCGCCGGCCACGAGGGCGGAGAUGAUGAUGGAUCCGACGGAGGUGAGGAAGACGACGAGGACGGAGAAGAGGACGAGGCCGCCGAGGGUCUCGCGGUCGGAGAAGGUGCGGCCGAAGAGGACGAGGGGCGGAUCGGCAGGGCGGAAGAGGUAGAGGAGGCACCAGGCGGCGAGGAGGGCGAGGAGGACGAGGAGGGAGAAGGGGUUGGUGACGAGGGAGAGGGCGAGGAUGGCGGCCACCACGGCGGCGUAGUUGACGCGGAAGUAGGCGAGGUUCUUGCGGAGGCGGGAGGUGGCGUCGGCGAGGGUGUCCGGGCGGGAGAAGGCCGAGCGGUCGGCGAGUUCGGACCAGGGACGGCGCUCGGAGAGGAAGCGGCUGACGGAGUCGGAGAGGCGGGAGAGGAAGAGCCGGAAGGCCGGAGUGGAGACCGGGGCCGUGGAACCGGCGGAG